ensembl:lncRNA
GAAUUUUUGACCCCCAAAAAAUCACAAAGGUUAACCCCUUACCAUUUUUCUAUUUUGGGUGAAAAAUUUGACGUUCUCAGAUCUUCCCCAAAUUCACAGUGUGCGUUAGGGAGAUCAAGAGUAACACAGGAGUGCACAUAGUGUUAUUGUAACAUGCUCCAAAGCUGAGAUAUAGUAUCUGCAUUAUUGUGCAGUACAGUAGAUAAAAUAGUAAUAGUAUUGUGUAGUAUACUAUGGUUCAAUAGAUUAAAUAGGUACAGUAGAUAAAAUAGUUAUAGUCUAGGAUAGUAAAAUAUAGUACAGCAUGCUAUCAUAUUGUAUAGCAGAUAAAACAUGUACGUUAUAGUAGAUAAAAUUGUUAUAGUGUAGUAUAAUAGCUGAAAUAUGUCAAAUAUACUACAGUAGAGUUGAUAAAAUUAUAGUACAGAAUAGCAGAUAAAAUGGGUAUAUUUCCAUCAAAUCUCGUACACUGCCUGUGAAGUUGAACUGAAAUUGACCAUUAAAAUGUUUCAGUUUGUAUGUCCUAAACCUGUAUAUUAUGUUGAGUGUAAUAUUUGGUGCCGCCUCAGCCAGAGAAAAUUGGACGCUGUAACGGAUUAGCAAGACCAUUGAGAACAUCAUCGGCUGCAGUCUGUCACCACUUGAAGACCUGUACAUCACCAGGACAAAGAGGCGAGCAGGAAAAAUCAUCAGUGACACCUCCCACCCUGCUAAUGACCUAUUCCAAAAACUACCAUCAGGAAAGCGAGUCCGCUCGCCUGUAACAAAAACCGCACACCAUCG